UUAAGUUCAGCGGGUUUUCCUACCUGAUUUGAGACCAAGUGUUCAGAGGGGGUCCUUUAAGGGACCCCGCCUGGAAUAAUGGUUGGAUCACCGAAAUCAAAAGCCUUAAAAACCAGAACGAUAAUACAAGACGUACUCAAGAGAAUAAACCCUCUCAUGCGCUUGAAACCGGACGGGUGUCCAAUGAUUCCAUGACAUUG
rnacentral:misc_RNA from 1 species